CCCGCUGCAAUAAAGUUUUAAAAAAAGGAAAAAAACGGAAAAUAGUUCUAACUGUAAAUUACAGUGCCUUCGAUAAAGUAAACAACAAGGAAACAGUCGCUACAACCAACAACAAACGCCAAAUAAUUUCGUUAGAUUUUCACAUGAACCGCGCAACAAUAAAACUGACCAGCGCCUAGCACCUUUAGUAUGCAAUGAGGCAGCCAGAUAAACGCAUCGACAACGAUCGGCAUCGCCAAGUAUUUGUAAUACACGAGUGU